GUGACCUCAAAUCAGGUAGGACUACCCGCUGAACUUAAGCAUAUCAAUAAGCGGAGGAAAAGAAACUAACAAGGAUUCCCCUAGUAACUGCGAGUGAAGCGGGAAAAGCUCAAAUUUAAAAUCUGUCAGUCUUUGGCUGUCCGAGUUGUAAUCUAGAGAAGUGUUAUCCGCGCUGGACCGUGUACAAGUCUCCUGGAAUGGAGCGUCAUAGAGGGUGAGAAUCCCGUCUUUGACACGGACUGCCAGGGCUUUGUGAUGCGCUCUCAAAGAGUCGAGUUGUUUGGGAAUGCAGCUCAAAAUGGGUGGUAAAUUCCAUCUAAAGCUAAAUAUUGGCGAGAGACCGAUAGCGAACAAGUACCGUGAGGGAAAGAUGAAAAGAACUUUGGAAAGAGAGUUAAACAGUACGUGAAAUUGCUGAAAGGGAAACGCUUGAAGUCAGUCGCGUUGUCCAGGGAUCAACCUUGCUUUUGCUUGGUGUACUUUCUGGUUGACGGGUCAGCAUCAAUUUUGACUGUUGGAAAAAGGUCGAGGGAAUGUGGCAUCUUUAGAUGUGUUAUAGCCCUUGAUUGCAUACAAUGGUUGGGAUUGAGGAACUCAGCACGCCGCAAGGCCGGGUAUUAACCACGUACGUGCUAGGAUGCUGCU
rnacentral:rRNA from 2 species